rnacentral:lncRNA from 1 species
GGGGGCUUCAGUGCCAUGCAGGCAUUGUGAACCACUAUGGAGCCUGGCUUUCAGCUGAUCCUGGGGAAGUCACAAAAAGUGGUAGCAGAGCUGCUUCCAGAUGACAUGAGGCUAGGCAUUGACUACAGUAGUCUCCAGUGGAAGUCAGUGUUCUGAUCAAAAGGAAUAUUUAGAUAUUGAGUAAUUUUUAGAAGAUACCAGCCUAGAAAAGGAAUCGUAAAAGAUACAAAGUCUUGUGGACGCAUACAUAAAGUUGAAGAGACCAACUCAGUCCUGAAGGAGGAAGUAAUUUCUUCUGUAAAAGAAGUAAAUAAGGAGAGAUCUAAACCCUUAAGACUAGAGGGGAUGAUGACUGAAAUAGUAAGAAUGAUUCAUUUACCAGAAGAUGAUGUAGGAACCAUCACAUUGCAAGAUUUUCCAAGCACUGCCAUGGCUGGGGCUCCCUUCUGUCAUUCUCCAGGGGUCUGAAAAUAGAACCCUUUUCUUCUAUUCAGACUGUGUCUGUUCUCUACCUCCCACUCCAAUAUGAGGUUCAUUCUUGUCCGUGCUUCUAAAAAGCACUUAAGAACCCUCCUCCAUAGGCUGGAGUAUUUUUGUUCAACGUCACCUUUCAAAAACAAAUCUGAGUUUCUUCAAGGCUAAUUCAAAUUUCAAAUGAACCAACUGUUGGACUUCCAGAAAUUUUGGACUUAAAAAAAAUGGUCUGUCUUCAAAAGAAAUUUUAAUCUCAUUCAUUAUCAUCUUAAGAACUGAAGACACUUG